UACGUAGGUGGCAAGCGUUGUCCGGAUUUACUGGGCGUAAAGAGCGCGCAGGCGGUCGAUCAGGUCGCGUGUGAAAGCCCCCGGCUCAACUGGGGAGGGUCACGCGAUACUGAUCGACUCGAAGGCAGGAGAGGGUAGUGGAAUUCCCGGUGUAGUGGUGAAAUGCGUAGAUAUCGGGAGGAACACCAGUGGCGAAGGCGACUACCUGGCCUGUUCUUGACGCUGAGGCGCGAAAGCUAGGGGAGCAAACGGG
rnacentral:rRNA from 1 species